AGUCGUGUGUCUCCAAGCCAUGGUGGAGACGCGGCACACAGCUCAGUAACACGUGGCUAACCUGCCCUUGGGACAGGGACAACCCCGGGAAACUGGGGCUAAUCCCUGAUAGGUGAGGAUUCCUGGAAUGGGUUCUCGCAGAAAGGGCAUCUAGAUCAUGCUUCUAGGUGUUGCCCAAGGAUGGAGCCGCGGCCGAUCAGGUUGUUGGUGAGGUAACGGCUCACCAAGCCUUUAACCGGUACGGGCCGUGAGAGCGGGAGCCCGGAGAUGGGUACUGAGACAAAGACCCAGGCCCUACGGGGCGCAGCAGUCGCGAAAACUCCGCAAUACGCGAAAGCGUGACGGGGCUAUCCCGAGUGCCGUCCGCUGAGGACGGCUUUUCCCCAGUGUAUAAAGCUGGGGGAAUAAGGAGAGGGCAAGACUGGUGUCAGCCGCCGCGGUAAUACCAGCUCUCCGAGUGGUGGGGAUGCUUAUUGGGCCUAAAGCAUUCGUAGCCGGUUGGGC
rnacentral:rRNA from 1 species